rnacentral:rRNA from 1 species
AUUGAACGCUGGCGGCAUGCUUUACACAUGCAAGUCGAACGGUAACAGGGUGCUUGCACCGCUGACGAGUGGCGAACGGGUGAGUAAUGCGUCGGAACGUGCCGAGAAGUGGGGGAUAACGCAGCGAAAGUUGUGCUAAUACCGCAUACGUACUGAGGUAGAAAGUGGGGGACCUUCGGGCCUCACGCUAUUCGAGCGGCCGACGUCUGAUUAGCUAGUAGGUGAGGUAAAGGCUCACCUAGGCGACGAUCAGUAGCGGGUCUGAGAGGAUGAUCCGCCACACUGGGACUGAGACACGGCCCAGACUCCUACGGGAGGCAGCAGUGGGGAAUUUUGGACAAUGGGCGAAAGCCUGAUCCAGCCAUGCCGCGUGUCUGAAGAAGGCCUUCGGGUUGUAAAGGACUUUUGUCAGGGAGGAAAUCCCUAGUGCUAAUAACACUGGGGGAUGACAGUACCCGAAGAAUAAGCACCGGCUAACUACGUGCCAGCCGCCGCCGUAA